rnacentral:lncRNA from 1 species
CGAGUACCCGAGUCAUUAGUUAGUUGGUUUGUUUAUCUUUCUUUGAUGUUGAUGAACAUUUGAAGAUCUUGUAAUUGAACUAAUUUGUUUAUUUGGACAUGUUGGACUUGUCUAUUUAAAUUACAAAAUUAAUUGUGGAUUUAUUGGAAUUUUUGAUAAUCAUAGGCCUUGCAUGAUCUCUAGGGCACUGCUCUAGGGCUCAUGCGGCCGGUCGCGUUCCGGACCCGGGUGCUGGGUUCGGGGCGUGACA